rnacentral:misc_RNA from 1 species
UACGGGGGGGGCAAGCGUUGUUCGGAAUUACUGGGCGUAAAGGGCGCGUAGGCGGCACAGGAAGUCAUGGGUGAAAUCCCUCGGCUUAACCGGGGAAUGGCCUGUGAAACCACUGUGCUAGAGUGCUGGAGAGGAAAGUGGAAUUCCUAGUGUAGCGGUGAAAUGCGUAGAUAUUAGGAGGAACACCUGAGGCGAAGGCGGCUUUCUGGACAGACACUGACGCUGAGGCGCGAAAGCCAGGGGAGCAAACGGG